rnacentral:rRNA from 1 species
AAUAAUGCACAAUGCGAGCAAGCGUGAAGCAGCCAUGCGUCGUUGACGACGAUGACCUGAAGAUAGUAAAUUUUCCUUGUUGGGCAUUAUGAUGGCAGUACCUAAAAAAGAAUCCGCUCUACCUUCAAGCCAGCAGCGAAUUAGUAAAUGCGGGCUAGAUUUGUUAUUAAUGGGUUGAAGUGAUCGCAGUAGGUUGAUAAUUAUCAGUAAGUAAUGCAAAGCAUCAACCUAAUAACGCAUAGAAAGAGGAAGUCUAGAGAUCAAGAGAGCGGGAAUAAUACCGAGUCAGAUAAAAAAUUAAUAUAUAUAUGAACAACAACAGUGGAGAAGGCGCCUAUGUGGCAUGAUAGUGACGCUGAGGUAGAAAGUGUGGGGAGCAAACAGGAUUAGAUACCGUGGUAGUCCACACAAUA